AACACAUGCAAGUCGAACGCCCCGCAAGGGGAGUGGCAGACGGGUGAGUAACGCGUGGGAACAUACCCUUUCCUGCGGAAUAGCUCCGGGAAACUGGAAUUAAUACCGCGUACGCCCUACGGGGGAAAGAUUUAUCGGGGAAGGAUUGGCCCGCGUUGGAUUAGCUAGUUGGUGGGGUAAAGGCCUACCAAGGCGACGAUCCAUAGCUGGUUUGAGAGGAUGAUCAGCCACAUUGGGACUGAGACACGGCCCAAACUCCUACGGGAGGCAGCAGUGGGGAAUAUUGGACAAUGGGCGCAAGCCUGAUCCAGCCAUGCCGCGUGAGUGAUGAAGGCCUUAGGGUUGUAAAGCUCUUUCACCGGAGAAGAUAAUGACGGUAUCCGGAGAAGAC
rnacentral:rRNA from 1 species